GAUCUUAUAGUUUAAGUAAAAACGUUAAAUUGCAAAUUUAAAGAAAGCUGUUGUUUAAGAUUU
rnacentral:tRNA from 2 species